rnacentral:lncRNA from 10 species
GACGCGGCCACCAAGCCACCACGCAGGGGAAGGGCGGCGGAACCCACAGCUCGAGCUCAGGUGAUUCUGACGCAGGCGCUCCACGGAAACCCUCCGAGAAUUCUGGGGGCCGUGGGGCCGCCCAGCUCAGUCCGGAGCUCCGGAACUCGGGGAAGAGCGUCCGGGAGCCGGGUCUGGGUUCCGCACUCCGUCCGCCCCGAUGGCAGAGAGUGAGAUACGGACGCCCCGGGACGAGGGGCUCAGGACCCGGCUACGGACACCUGCCUCCAUCUCCCUCCAGGUAUUUCACCCCAAUAAUAAAAUAAUAAUGCCAGAAGCUGAAGAGUAAUCAGGACCUCAGGAUUACUCAUAGAUAACACAAGUGUGAAGAGAGGGGAGAGCAGCAAAGGCUGAGCUGCGUGUGCCUGGUCCCUUCCAGACUUUCCAGAUAACUUUGCCCCACGGAGGACAAGGAAAGCCAAAAGAGAGAAGCCAGGAUUGUUAGUCUUGGAAAAUGCCUCCAUAUAGAAACAUGAGCCGGAGAAUAAAUCACUUGCCUCUCUAACCAGUUGGAUUUGGUCCGUGAGUUCCUAGUUUUGUUCACCUGACUUAGUCCCUGACUUUUAAAGUCAAGUGCAUCAACAUGCUGCCAGUACUUUGAUGAACAUCUAUACAGGAUCCAUCUCUACAGCAGUGAAUUCCACCUGGGGUAAAGUAUGCAUGUAGGUUAGGAUGCUACAGUGGGACUCUGUCUGCUUUUUCUGUCUGUUUCUGCUAAGGCCUCCACACAUUAGAUGGUCAGUACUCUUUGUUCUAUGGGAAGGGCUAGAAUACCUAAACAGGACUUUCACGGAGGGAGCAACAAACCAGUUUUGUGGCUCUCAGCAAACAUCCAUCUCAAAGGUGAGUUUGGAAAUAAUGGAGAGUAUGUCAGUGUGUUUGUGUCUCAGGCCUACUUCCCACGCCUAUGGGGGAAGGGUGGGACUUAUCUCUCUCUUCCCUCAAGCCUGCUAAGAGGAGAUUAGACUAUAUUUGAGAUAAAUACCUCCAGCACAGUGACAGCCAUGCAGCUCAUGCCUGUGAAAUCAAAAGGCAAGAGGAUGCGGCUGGCUGGCUGCUCUGAGGGCAGAGAGAAAAGACCAGACAGCUCUUGGAACAGACUGUUCUUCCAGUGACGAUGGGGACAAAGAUGCAUGAGUGUAUCUCCAGGACUGGAUGUGAGCUGCAUGGGAGAAAAAGAGUGCAGGCCUGCAGCCCGGGAAAACCCAAAAGGAUGCCAUAAACCCAACAGGAAGAUGGGUUGUCAGGGCCCCAGGAGCUGAGAAAGGAAUAAAAAUGACAGAGAGAGAAAAGUACAUUGUCCACAUCAUAAAUAACACAGCUGAAUGUGCCCAAUGAGGUCCUCAGAGAACCCACAGAAGUGCCCAUGGGAACAGUUCUCUCUGGGACUCAAACCCAGGGAGAGGUGCUUUUAAACAUGCAAAGAGAGGGAACCAUCAUCAUAUUACAUUGCAGUGUCCACAUGAAUAAGACCCUAACUUACCUCAUAUUUCUCCUCCUUCCUCUGCUUUAAUCCAGGAGGAGCCAGAGACCUCUCAGUAAGUGAAGAAGAGGGGAAAUAGGUAAAAAGCCACUAUUCCCCAUGUUAGAUGAGGAAAUAGGAACAUUCUCCUCCUCUACCCAACACCCACUGUAGCUUUUAGUGGCUGGAGUCAGGAGAGAAAAGUUUUCAUGUUAAAUGAAUUUCAGAGGUUUGACUAUGACAUAGAAAUGGAUAUUUUAAUUACUGAAAUAAAACUGUUUUGUAAUUAGAGGUGACUGGAAGACAUUUUAUCCUCAGCAGAAGAAUAGAUAAGGAUAGGACCUUCCCUCCCCCUUGGACCCCACCAAGGUUUUAUCCAGAGGCAGAGGAAGAAGUAACCCUUUAUGUGAGUUUGAAUGGGCAGAAGAAGAAAAGGAUGAAGUUGUCUUCUAAUUGCACUCUAUGAAUGUUGCUUUUUUGUUAACAUAAAUGUCACAUAUAUUUUUAGCUGGUGUAACAAAAAAAAAAACAUCUCAAGCCGGCUUGCAUAAUAACAGCUUUGGGCACAGUCUGAUCAAGGCCCCGGUUCUGUUUGCUAGUGAUCCUCCUGAUUCUGCCCUCUCUCCAUGCUAGUUUCUUCCUCAGAUUGACAUUCCUCUUGGUCACCAGAUGCCUACAAUCAGCGGGUGCAACUCUCUGCUCCCUGCUCACUUCUGAAGGGGAGAGCAUGGAUACCAACCACAGAACAAAGCCCUGCAGUCUCCCGCUGAGUAGAACACCCACGAAGAAGUGUUGGCCAUUUCCCUAUUGCCAGGGAAAUAUCAUGUAUUGGUUGGAUUAGGCCUGUAUUAAUCCAGUUAAUGGAACAUAGUUAAACUAUCCCAGACCCUCCAUAGACACUAGAGAAAAGGUGAAUCCAACCCAAAUGUAAGACUGCUACUCAAUAGGACAGAAAAGGCAUGGAUGUCAGUGAAAUGGGAAAAAAAAUGUGUGCCAAAGGAGAUCAGGAAGGACUGAAUAGAAGACAUGGCCUUUGAAUUGAAGCCUUUAAUGAGGAAAGGGGAUUGACAUUGUAUGAGGGCCAGGGUGGAGAGCGGGUUGUGAAGAGGAUAGGGAAAAUGCAAGGACACUGCGGAUAUAAGAAUUAAUGGGAGAAUCAUGGGCCACAAAGCAGCAGGAUUAUAUUACAGAGAUUGUAAGUAGUGUUUAUUGAAGCACAGGGUACUGGGGAGGUGGAGGAAAGAUGAAACUGUUAAGGAAUUUAGACACAGCAUGUAGUGGUUGGCAGGAAACAGAUGACACUCUCAAACAGGGUAGUUGAGGAGAGCUAAUAAAGGGACCAUUUACCAAGGUGUAGUUAGGAUUAAGAGAAAGCAAACUGGGAUGGUGCUGUGCUAUGGGCUAGCAACAGCAGGAAGUCAUUUCUGUCCCUAGGUCUGAAGAGGGAAGCAGGGGAGCCAACACCAAGGAACCAGAGAUCUUAGAGUCUGAAAGUCUGCAUGAUAGAAGCCAUGGCCUUUAGUAGAGGGAUCUUGCCUACUCUUAGCAGCCUGGCUUGGAGGGGCCUGGGGAAAUAAUACCCCAACCUCUCUCCUCUUCUUCAAUAUUGAUGACUUCCAUUGGUUAAUAUCAAACUGGAAGUUGGAGAGAAAGGGAGUCUAUCUAUACAAGUCAGCACCCUGUAGCCCAGAAGAGAGUAAAAAGGGGGUAAAAAGCAAUUUCCGAGGGACAAACAGAAAACACCCAGCACAGAAGGAGGAACAAACAUUUGGAGGAACAAACAGAAAAUAUCAGAAAACAUUUUAAUCCUGGGUCCUGGGACGUCAUGGAAGGUUUUGAAGUUAGGAGCACCGCCAUCCUCUAGGGGGAGCUCAAGCAUUUCUCUCCACUCAUCCCAAAGGCGGUGCAUCAAAAGAUCAGGGUGAAACUGACUUCAAGGAAAGAGCCCUCGGCUAGAGGAAGAAGCCUGGAGAAGUAAAGGGAUUGCUCCUGGAAUUGGAAAUCUACCCUUUGCACUUCUAUUUACUGCAUUUGGAUUGAUUUGCAAGAAUAACCAUUAAAAUAAUCAAAGCUAAAAAUUAAGAGGCUGAUAGAACCUGGAUUUGAGCCCAUUGACAAAGGACCACUCUCUGCUCUGUUCUGUUCUCAUGCUGCUGGUUUAGUCAGCUGAGUCAAAGGUUGCCUUUGCUUAGAAGGCCUAACAAAACCAGAGCAGGGUCCAUGGAAAAGGAGACAUGAAAAGGGACAUAUUUCCUGGUAAGAUUUGUAUUCAUUUAACAAUUUUAAGCACAUAUUUAAUAACCAGGCACUCACUACCUGACAAGCUCUGAGCCAGGUGCAGGGUAUCCGAGGGAACUAGGAGAGAGGCACUAAGUGCUGUACUAAGAACCUGAAUGAGUGCAUUUGAGUCCUGGGUCUGCUACAUGUGUGACCUAGGAAAAGUCACUUAAAUCAUUUAACUGUCUCCUCAUCUUUAACAUAUAGAUGGUUAAAAAGUACACAGCACUUGGAAUAAUAAACGGGCAGAUUGUUAAUGUUGAAGGUGUGAGCUGCUGUUCUUACAACACAAUGUCAGCCCUUGAAGCUCUUACAGUAGAUGGAAAGAUGGAGAUGAGUAGGAUCUAAUUAUUGGCCAAGUGCAAAGGAGCUAAAAAGGCCACCCACGCUGCUACUUACUUCAGCAAUACCCAAGGAAACAAGGGCAAAAAAAGAGCUCUAGAGGCUCUUCUUGGUCUAGCCCUGCUUUUGAGUUUGGGGCCAAAGCUCUAAUUCACUCUAAUUCAGGGGUGUUAGCAAGGUUCUUGUCUGGCAUUCUAGCUCUGAACAGUUGAUACCAGCUUCCUGAACCAUGUGUUAAGAGAGAUCUCAGACUGCAUGUAGAGAACGUAUGCCUUGAGAGAUAAGUGAUGUCUGCCAUUGAUUGAGGGUGGAGAGGAGGAGCCAAGUGGUUCUAGAACAGUGUCCUUUUGCCUAGAAUGUCCCUACAGCAGGAGCAGCUGGGCAAGACUCAGAAGUCCUGAUUAUAAUCACAGAUUAAGGUGACCAACUAUCCCAGUUUGCCUAGGACUGUUCCAGUUUUAGAACUGAAAUUCCUGCAACCCAGAAAACCUCUCAAUCUUGGGCACAUCCCAAUCAGCUUUGCAGGCUUUCUCUAUCUGACAAUACCAAAAAAAAACAACAACUAUGAGCUCUGACUAGAAGAGAUUACUCUUUUUGUCUUGGCCAAUUUCAGCCUGUGAAAAUGCAUCUUAUUCUGGCCUGUAUGUGCCAGCCAUAUGCCCUCAAAUGUUCCCCCACUUCACAAUAGCUGACCUCCAUACCUCUCUCCUUUCUCAGCUAUUUUUCCUGCUGUAUCCACUGACGCCUUAGUAGGAAACAGAUGGCACCAUCAAAGGGUUUAGCUGAAGAGAAUUUCAUACAGGGAUUAUUUACAGAGGCGUGGGCAGGGUUAAUGGAACCAACAAGAGCUGGGGAGACAGUCAGGGAUUAGCUCUUACCACAGGAGGUCUGCAGGGACAAAGGGAGGGGAUGCUGUUACCAGCCUGGUAAGAGCUGAAACUGUGCAGGAGAGGUCACUGGGCCUGGGAGCUGGAGCCUCUGUCUCAUCUGCGGUGUGGCAGAGAGGAAAGAGGAGGAGGGCAUAAAAAUCCCUGGCCCGGCUCUCCUCCUGCCCUCUGGCCUCUUGCCAGUAGUUUCUUGCCAGAGUGCAAGGAAAAGCAAAUGAAACAACAGGUCUAGUAGAGGGCAGCCUCCCAGGCCGCAGAGCGUGACAGGAAAAGGCAGAGAACAGAUCUAAGAAUAACCAUCCCAGGCCACCCUAUUGUCACUCAGCUUCCAUUCUAACACUUUACUUAGCCAAAGAAACUCAGGUCCUCAACACAGGGAAAACAUAGUCUCAUCAGCUACUGUAUCACUGAGUGAUGAUGUAUUUCAGUCAUAUUACUUCCUGGACCCUAAACUGUAACUUUAGUCACCACCAGGAUGCAAGGCAGCAAAGAAAGGUAAAAAAAUAAAUAACUAUCAUACUACAGCUCCACAUCUAAGCAUUUCUAAUCUAAUAAUCCUGACUUCCUCCUCCCAGCACUCGUUCCAUAAUUCUUUACCCUCACCUAGCAUCUUGACAGUUAAGGUGUCUUACUUGAUGGGGUGAGCCAAACCUUCCUUGCCACAGGAUCCGGGUGGUUCCAUCUUUGUUGAGUUGCUGCCGUUUCUCAUUGGCCAUUACUACUGGACAUGGGAGUGCAAUGAAUCCCAUGGGCUCUAGAUACAGUGUUGUUUCCAUGUGAUAGCAAAAAUCCCAAUUUCUCCUUGAUAAUCAAAAUUAAUCAUACCAGUCCAUACAAACAGCCAAUGCUCUGCCUUUGAUCAGUGUUGUGAACAACCUGAAAUGUUGAAGGGGCAUUCUCAGUGUUUCCUAGUAGAAAUAUAUCUCCCCCUUGGGCACAAGAACCUCACGCCCAUUAGAUGCAAUGUUUUAGGGACAAGAAGACAGUAUUAUUGAAGUGGGUUAUUACUCAUCCUGAGUUCCCAGAGCCAUGUAUUCAACACCAUGUAUCAACCACUGAUCUGACCACUUAUAGGACAGCACCCCAACUUCACAAGAUGUUGUCUCCCAGCAGGCUCCAUAAAUGAGCCUUCGAUAGGACAUUUCAUCAUUCCAUCAAUCUAGCUGCUUCCAGGUAAGAACAAUGAAUUCUACGAUGUGAGCGUAAUACCACAGCUGUUUCACUGUAAAUGAGUUCCUUGAUCAGUGACAAUGCUGUGUGUGACACCAUGGGGAUGAAUAAGGCAGCCUAUCAACCACAUAUGGUAGUGCUGGCGGAAGCAACAUGCACAGGAAAGGGAAGUUACUCUCCAGUAUAUGUAAUUAUUCCCAUGAAGACAAAUUCCUGCCCCUUCCAUAAUGUAGUGGUCUGAUAUUAUCAACCUGGGUGGCUGAUACUUCCAAGAAAUAGUGCCAAAUAAGGGUUCAGUGUUGCCUUCCGUUUUAGAAAUCUGGGCACUCAGCAGUGACAGUGGCAGAUCAGCUGUGAUGUGAGGAAGUCCAUGUUUAUUUAUUUCAUUGCCUCUGUUCCUAUUCCCAUGGCCACUUUGUACAUGAGACAUUUACCCAAGCACAAACAUGGCCAGUGUCUUAGCAUGCUCAACUGCUUUAACAAAACGCCGUAAACUGGGUUGUUUAUAAACAGCAGAAAUUUAUUUCUCACAAUUUUGGAGGCUGGGAAGUUCAAGAUCAAGGUUCUAGCAGACUCUGCGUCUGGUGAGAGCCUAUUUCCUGGUUCACAGAGGGCCACCUUCUGUGUCUUCAUAUGGUGGAAAGGGCUAUGCAGCUCUCUGGGAUUUCUUUUAUAAGGGCACUAAUCCCAUUCAUAAGGGCACUUAACUUCCCUGGGGACUUAACCUCCCAGUGGCCUCACUUCCUAAUACCAUUCACAUUGGUGAUUAGGUUUCCACAUAUGAGUUUUGAAGGGACACAAAUAUUUAGACCAUAGCAGCCAGGGAAGGAGGCUCACUACAACCAAGGGAUAGGUCAUCUUGGCCACCUCCUCAUUUAGCUUUCUGUGAGGUAGAUGUCCUCUGGGGGAACAUUUAUAUGCUAUUCAAAUAGCCUCAAAGACUAGCCAUUUUUAGAGGUCCAUUAUAUAACUUCCCUUUAGGUGAUCUUGGCACCAACCUUCCAGGUCCCUGAUAAUUUGACCAACCCAUUAGCCCCUGCCUGUGUAUUUCAGGAAACCUCAGCUUAUCCCUUCUUUCAUGUCAGUGGCCAACCAGAUGUACUUCCUGAAGUUCUGUCUAUGGGAAGAUUUUCCUAUGGCUUGCAGAGCCACCCCAGACAGAUAAUUCUUAAACCAGACCAGGCCACUGUCACCCUCUUUUCUCAUCAAAGGGUCAUAGGGAAUACCCGGGGAGACCAGAGGUACGGUUUGAGGGAAAGGCGGGAAGCAGUAAGAAGUCUGACUCAUCAGCUUUUGCAGAGAAGAGAAGUGCUGAGAAUAGAUCUGAGGGUGUGAGGGGAUAAAGAAUAACAGCUCACCCACGUCUGUGCAGUUCUUUACCCUAAAGUUUAAGUGAAAUGAUUCUUCAUCAAGCUUCUUCUCACUUGAUUUAAGAAAAUCCUUAGAGAUAUAACAGCAUCAAUAUUGCAAACCAAUAAGGAAACAAAGCAAUAGCUUAGCCCUUGACAUAUAUUUCUGAUAAGUAAUGUAUUUCAUGGUCUUUCCUAAAUGUACAUGAGGUAGAAGUAGAUAUAUCCAAUGUCUAUACUUAAUUGAUUUUUGCCAGAAAGUCUAUCUUGAAAUGUGAGCUUCUGAUAAAUUCCUUCUAUUUGUGCUUUUUUAGAACAAGUUCCAUUUUUAUGUUGUCUUUGUCAGUGACGGAGGAAAUCAGAUCAAUUUUUUAAAGUCAGUUUUUUAUAUAAGCAUUACUGAAACUAUUGAAAUCUGAAUAUGGUGUUUUUAAAAUAAACUGUGUUAAACUAAUUUGUAAUAUCAGAAGUCAGGAAGGGAAGCAUGAGGGGGCAUCUAGGGGCUGGUAAUGUUGUGUUUCCUCCUGUGGGUAUUGGUUACCUGAGUUAAUUUUUUUUUGUGAAAUUACAACAAGCUGUGCACUUAUGAAAGUUGUACUUUUCUAUACAUGUAUUCUUAUUCAAUAAAAAGAAAAAAAUGAAAGGUGCUCCAUAUAAUGAUGACCUUUUGGCAAACAUUUCCAUGAAAUAGAAACUAGAUGAAAAAAUUUUAUGAAAUGCUGCGUAAUUAGUGGAUUCUUCUGGCUAAACAGCCCAUCAAAAACACUUACUAAAGACCUAGAAUUAUUAAAGACCUAAGAAUGCAAUGACUUGCAUUAGAUAUAGCUGAUAGGCCAGUGAGAAGGACAACAUAUCACAGAUUAAUCAAUUCAUUCACAAAACGAAAACACUGAACACUUACUAUGUGUCAGACACUAGUCUAUAUGCUUGAGGUUCCAUGAGUAAGUAAAUCAUUCCAUGUCCUUGUGGAACUGAUGCCUAGUGAGGGGAGACAGCCAGCCAAUUAACAAUAAACAAUGAGUAAAUUACAUGAUAUGUUAGAUUGAUAAGGGAUGCUUAAGAAAAAGAGCAGAGUGAGUAAGCAUUGUGGGGAAGUUUGCAGUUUUAAAUAGGCUGUUCAGAUCGGCAUCACUAAGAAGGUGAUAUUUAUGCAAAGGUAUAAAGGAGAAGAUAUUGGCCAUAUGGGUAGCUGGGGAAGAGAAUCCAGGCAGAGGGAAUAGUGAGGCAGGAGAGAACCUGACAAGUUCAAGGCAAAAAAGCCAGUGUGAUUAAGACAAAGUGAGAAAAAAGAAAAGGAGUUGAUGUGAGGCCCGGGAAUCAAUGUGGGGAAGGAGAAUUCCAGGCUGCUGCAAGAUUUCCAUUUUCACUUUCAAUGAAAUGGGGCACCAUUGCAGGAAUUGGGCCAGAGAGUGGCAUAAGCUGACAAAUUUUGAAAGUAUCUUGCAGCUGUUUUGAGUAGAGGCUGAAGAGGAGAAAUAAUCCAGGUGAAAAAUGAUGGUAGCUUGGACUAGACUGAUAGCAGUGGACAUGUAAAUAAUGGUCAGAGUUUGAGUAUAUUUUGAACAUUGACCCAACAGGAUUUGUUGAAGGACUGGAUACGAGAUUUGAGGAAAGAGAAAAGUCACAUUUGAUUUUGAGGUCUUGAUCCUGAACAAGGAUGAAGCUGUCAUUGACUCAGCUUCAGAUCAGGGAGACUGUGGGCAUAGGAGGAUUGGAGAGGAAGAUUAGAAAUUCAGUGUUGGGCACAUUAGGUUUGAAAUGUGUAUCAGACAGUCUAAUAGAGAGGACAAGUAGGGAGUUAAGUAGAAGAGUUUAGAGUUUAGGAUGAAUGUAUGAAUACAAAUGUAAAUUUCACAUUAAUAGCCAUAGAGAUUAUAUUUAUAAGACUAGAUAAUAUAACACAGAAGAGAGUACAUAAUAGAGACAAGAACCAAAGACUAAGGCCUGGAGCACUACCAGAGAAGCACCCAAUAAUAUAGAAAGAAAGAACAGCCAGUUCCAUCCCAGAGUAUUUCAAGUCUGCAACAGGACUAGUUGACUUAACACCACUUGCCACUGUAAUAAUUACUUCCCAGGAAAAUAAGUCCAAGGAUAUUUUUCCAGUUUCUAUGCCAAGCCAUGAUAAUGAUUAAUUGCACAGUACCUGGCACAUGGUAAGAGCUUCCUAAUUAUUACAAGUUGUUGAAUGAAUUAUUUCAGGGCUCUGGGAAUAAGCCAAAAUCUCUUGAGACUUGAGCCUUUAUUAGAGAGACCUGAUAUAUGAGACACAUUUAGGGCCUUUCCCUUUUGGGCUCUCCAGGAAUAUUGAGGACCAGAUAUAUCAAGGUGAUCCAACCUGAAACUAAACUGGAAGCCAGCAGGCUGCUCCAUGCAAAUCAUCUGUGUUUCCUUCCUAAUCAAUUCUAUCUGUUGUUUUUUUUUUUUUUCCUUGAACAUCUAUCCUUCUGCCUCAGAGCCUUUGGACUUGCUGUUCUCUUAGUCUGGAUCAUCUACUCCUUUGAAUAGCUCAUUGUCUCUCUUUACUGAAGUUUCAGUUUAAAUUCACCUCUUCAGAGAAGCCUACGACUACUGUUGAUCACUAGUGAUCAUUGUUUGGCCUCAGCCUACACUAGUCUCUUCCACUUAUCUUUCUCUUUAUACCACUUACUACUGCCUGCCAUGGUAUUAUAUUUAUUUGGUUGGUUGGUUAUCCUCUGAUUCUCCCACUAAAAGGCAGUCUCCCUGAGACAGGGAUUUAUUUUGUUCUUCUUCCAUCCGCAAUAUGUAGAUCUAGAACAAAGCCUCGCCACUAGCAGGAAACUUGAUAAAUGUUGGUUUAUGAAUGAAUCCACUCUCUCAGAUCUGUUCCAGAUACCACUGGACCAGUUAAAAAUUAUAUGGAUUUCCCACCAUGUGGAAAGAUUAUUAUUCAGCAUAAGUAAAAGUGAAGAACACGUGAUCCCAAACCCACAAAAGCCUGCAAUCCGGUUGCUCUAGGUUAGACUGUUAGGCUGAUAGCAGUUUACUUCCCAUAAUUCUAUUUCCUGCCAGGCUCCCGAGAGGAGAGACAGUGCUUUGGGUGAAGAACAACACUCAUUUUAGCAGAGGUUCCAUGGUGUUUUCCAUGAGAGUCAUCUCUGGGCAAACAAUGUAAGCUUCAAAGUAAAUUUAGUUUCUCAUCUGGGAUGAAUAACUUGUAAUUGUGUCUUAUAAAUUGUACCCAGCAAUCCUUUUCUCACCCCUAGCCCUUGAAGAUUGGAGGAAAUGGUGUUUCUGACUACACCAGUAACAGGAUGGGAGCUUAUUUUAAAGACACUUGUAGGAAAGGCUUUGGAGAAAAACUAGCUUAUCGGGAGACUCCUAAUUCAGGAUCUUAUAUCCUUGAUUAAACUCUGACUUUUACAAUUUCCCAAAGUACACACACACACACACGCACACCAGAAUUAACUGAUUCAGAAUGAAACCAGCUAACACAGUGGCGCAUUGUGUAGAGGUUGAUCUCUAUUGUGACCUAACUCCAUGGACUACAUGGAGUUAUAAGAACCAAAACUAGGUAUUUGUGUGACCAAAAGAUAAGGAAAUUAAGAAUACCUAAGGCUAUUAAAGGAAAAAAAAUAAGAAGGUAAGCAAUAAGAAAAGCUUUCAGAGUCUCACAGCUCAGUCCUCUGUUAGGAGGUAAAAGUUUUAUUUCUGUCUCAAGCGUAGGCUUAGGCAAACCCAAGUCUUGCUCUUUGUGGUGGGCUUAUGAGCAGGGUGAAUGGAAAAAGGGAAAUUCCUGGCAAGCUCUGGCUUGGAGAUGGUACAAAAAAACCUCAGUAAGUAUAGUGUAUUUCCUUCUUUCCUGAAUCCAUACUAACUUGCCCAGUAAAACUUUCUUUAGUCCUUUACUGAUUCCAAGACUUAUUUUAAUUUUUGCCUUUCAAUUCUUAUUUCCUUUCCCACAGAUGGUACUGGCUAAAACAGAAGCCUGUAAAAGUAAAGCUUAAAAGACGUUCUUUCCUUUUUUUGGCUUUAAAAUGUUUCACAUGACUACAUGAUAGUCCCACCUCAUCCACCCACACUUACAUUUUUCCUCUUCCUAGCAUUAAUAGGUCUAAACAUGCAGUUAGGCAGGAAAUUUAGAAUAAGAAACUUUAUUAUUUUCUUGCCUCUUAGAGGAGUUUUCAAAAAAAUAUUGGAGGGGUUCUGAUUCCAGGUACAACGGAGUAAGUGUACUCACACCACCCUGUUCCUCCCACUGAAUGCGGCUAAAAAACCUGGGCAGAAUAAGUGGAGCAUCUGAGGACUCUGAAAAGUAAAUAAUAGCAGGCAGAUUGGAGAUGAAGACCAAAAUGGAGUGGAUACAUGAUCCAGGACUGGCCAGAAUUCUACAUCAAG